rnacentral:rRNA from 1 species
CAGCAGCCGCGGUAAUACGAGGGGGGCAAGCGUUGUUCGGAAUUAUUGGGCGUAAAGGGCGCGUAGGCGGUUUGGCAAGUUUGGUGUGAAAUCUUCGGGCUCAACUCGAAGUCUGCACCGAAAACUGCCGGGCUUGAGUAUGGGAGAGGUGAGUGGAAUUUCCGGUGUAGCGGUGAAAUGCGUAGAUAUCGGAAGGAACACCUGUGGCGAAAGCGGCUCACUGGACCAUUACUGACGCUGAGGCGCGAAAGCUAGGGGAGCAAACAGGAUUAGAUACCCUCGUAGUCCCGUCUCUUAUACA